rnacentral:lncRNA from 1 species
ACAACGCUCAUUGGUAGGAUGUUAUUUGUAAACAGUGCGAUGAAUUAUUAUUUUGUGCCUCUACCGGAGAAGGAGUCCAUGAUAAUAAAAUUAAAGGAGGAUUAACACCUGGAUAGUGACAACAAUGUAGUCUAUUUUGGGACACUCGUCAUUUGAAGGAGAUGUAACGACAAACCAAUUCAGCUGGGUGAGUCUCAAUUGGAAAUAAUGCCAUACUAUGUCCUCCACUACUCCUCACAAUUGUCUCGCUUGAUUGUAGCACUUCCUCUCUAGUUUCUAGUUCCUUUACAGAAAAACGUCAGCUCAUU